AAACCAUGUUGUGGGCAUGAAUUGGCAAGAUCCUUGAACUGCUCCCAACAUUGGAAGAAUAUUUCAUCUUUUUUUUUGUGUAAAGUUCAUGAUUGAUUGUCUAAGGGU